GACGAACGCUGGCGGCGUGCUUAACACAUGCAAGUCGAACGGAAAGGCCCAGCUUGCUGGGUACUCGAGUGGCGAACGGGUGAGUAACACGUGGGUGAUCUGCCCUGCACUCUGGGAUAAGCCUGGGAAACUGGGUCUAAUACCGGAUAUGAUCAACUGUCGCAUGGUGGUUGGUGGAAAGCUUUUGCGGUGUGAGAUGGGCCCGCGGCCUAUCAGCUUGUUGGUGGGGUAAUGGCCUACCAAGGCGACGACGGGUAGCCGACCUGAGAGGGUGAUCGGCCACACUGGGACUGAGACACGGCCCAGACUCCUACGGGAGGCAGCAGUGGGGAAUAUUGCACAAUGGGCGCAAGCCUGAUGCAGCGACGCCGCGCGAGGGAUGACGGCCUUCGGGUUGUAAACCUCUUUCACCAGGGACGAAGCGUGAGUGACGGUACCUGGAGAAGAAGCACCGGCCAACUACGUGCCAGCCGCCGCAGUAA
rnacentral:rRNA from 1 species